ACUGAAUAGAUACCCCGGUAGUCCACGCCGUAAACGAUGAUCACUCGCUGUUAGCGAUACACAGUUAGCGGCUAAAGCAAAAGCAUUAAGUGAUCCACCUGGGGAGUACGGCCGCAAGGCUGAAACUCAAAGGAAUUGACGGGGGCCCGCACAAGCGGAGGAACAUGUGGUUUAAUUCGAUGAUACGCGAGGAACCUUACCUGGGCUUAAAUGUAGAGUGCAUUCCCGAGAAAUCGGGAUUUCCUUCGGGACUUUCUGCAAGGUGCUGCAUGGCUGUCGUCAGCUCGUGCCGUGAGGUGUCGGGUUAAGUCCCAUAACGAGCGCAACCCUUAUCGUUAGUUGUCCACGCGGGUAAGUAGCCGGGAACGUCUAACGAAACUAGCCGGUGUAACCGAACGAGGAAGGUAGGGGAGUGACGUCAAACUACAGCACGGCCCGUUACUGUCCACGGGCGUACACACGUGUUACUAAUGGCGGUACGAGAGGGCGAGCUACCUCGGAGACAGGAUGCGAAUACUCGAAACGACCGGUCGUCAGUUCGGUAGUCGGAGUCUGCAACUCGAC
rnacentral:rRNA from 1 species